rnacentral:lncRNA from 1 species
CUGACUUUGCACAGCCUUUUGGUUUGCAAAGCAAUGUCUAGUCCCGGUAUGUCCAAAAACAAGUAAAGUGGAUUCGGGUUUUGAUAUCUUCUGCGGUUGGAAAACCUGAAGCUGAAAAAGAAGUAACUUCUUAAGGUUACCCAGCGGCCACAACAGAGUGUAGGUUUGAACUCCGCGUGCCACUUUCAGUACCAUACCAUUCUUACAACUCGGGCCACCCCUGCACCUGCGCCGACCUCAAACAAACUUCCAGGUGCGUGGUGGGUGCGGGCAAUGUGGACUAAGUCAAUUUCAAUGACACGGAAGGGAAUUGGAAUCAGUCCUAGGGCUGUCUCCCUUCUUAAUCUGAAAUGGGGGGGGGAAUGAGAUGUUGUUAAGGGGAGCCCCAGAAGAGGAAAAAUGCAAACAUUUGGCAGAGUUACCCUCUUGGCUUAGCCACUAUCAGUAUCAGGCAGACAGCGACUCUGGUAAGGGCAUCACAUUGUUCCCUUAAAAAAAGGAGCGGGG